rnacentral:rRNA from 1 species
CGAGCUAUUUGGGCUCGCCACACUGCUGAGUAACACGUAGUUAACUUGCCCUUGGGUGGAGGAUAAUCUUGCGAAAGUGAGGCUAAUACUCCAUAACUUAUCGAGGCUGGAAUGCACGAUAGGUGAAAGCUCCGGCGCCCAAGGAUAGGACUGCGGCGUAUCAAGGUCGUUGUCAGUGUAAAGAACUGACAAGCCGAUAACGCGUAGGGGUCAUGAGAGUGAGAGCCUCCAGAUGCGCUCUGAGACAUGAGCGCAGGUCCUACGGGACGCAGCAGGCGCGAAAACUUUCCAAUUGCUUCACGGCUGAGAAGGGAACCUUGAGUGGUUGUGCUCUUGCACAAUCUUUUGCUAAGUCCAAACAGCUUGGCGAAUAAGGGCUGGGUAAGACGGGUGCCAGCCGCCGCGGUAAUACCCGCGGCCCGAAUGGCUAUCGCGAUUAUUGGGUCUAAAGCGUCCGUAGCCGGUUCGGCAAGUCCCUUGUGAAAUCUGGCAGCAAACUGUCAGGCGUGCUGGGGAUACUACCAAACUUGGGAUCGGGAGAGGGAUGGGGUAUUCUGCGUGUAGGGGUUAAAUCCUUUAAUCCGCGGAGGACCACCUGUGGCGAAGGCGCCAUCCUAGAACGAGUCCGACGGUGUGGGACGAAAGCUGGGGGAGCAAAUGGGAUUAGAUACCCCAGUAGUCCCAGCUGUAAACAAUGUCCGUUUGGUGUUGCAGUUCUUACGAAGAACUGCAGUGCCGGAGCGUAGGUGUUAAACGGACCACCUGGGGGAGUACGGCCGCAAGGUUGAAACUUAAGGGAAUUGGCGGGGGAGCACACAAGGGGUGGAGGCUGCGGUUCAAUUGGAUUCAACGCCG